GGCUGAAACUACGCCUACAUGAAGCUGGAGUUGCUAGUAAUCGCGAAUCAGCAUGUCGCGGUGAAUACGUUCCCGGGCCUUGUACACACCGCCCGUCACACCAUGAGAGUUGGCAAUACCCAACGUACGUGAUCUAACCCGCAAGGGAGGAAGCGUCCUAAGGUAGGGUCAGCGAUUGGGUGAAGUCGUAACAAGGUAUC
rnacentral:rRNA from 1 species